rnacentral:tRNA from 1 species
GUGGUGGUUCAGGGUAGAAUUUUUGCCUCCUAAAAAAAAAAAAAAUUUCUUUUUUUUUUAUGCAAGAGACCCAGGUUUGAUUCCUGGCCAACACA